CGACUGCUAAUACCCGAUAUGCCGAGUAGGUGAAAUGUUAUUUCGCCUGAAGAUGAGCUCGCGUCUGAUUAGCUAGUUGGUGGUGUAAUGGACUCACCAAGGCGACGAUCAGUAGCUGGUCUGAGAGGAUGAGCAGCCACACUGGGACUGAGACACGGCCCAGACUCCUACGGGAGGCAGCAGUGGGGAAUUUUCCGCAAUGGGCGAAAGCCUGACGGAGCAAUACCGCGUGAGGGAGGAAGGUUCUUGGAUUGUAAACCUCUUUUCUCAGGGAAGAAAAAAAUGACGGUACCUGAGGAAUAAGCAUCGGCUAACUCCGUGCCAGCAGCCGCGGUAAUACGGGGGAUGCAAGCGUUAUCCGGAAUUAUUGGGCGUAAAGAGUCCGUAGGUGGUUCAGCAAGUCUAUUGUCAAAGGUCGGAGCUUAACUCCGGAAAGGCAGUGGAAACUGUUGAACUAGAGUAUGGUAGGGGUAGAGGGAAUUCCCAGUGUAGCGGUGAAAUGCGUAGAUAUUGGGAAGAACACCGGUGGCGAAAGCGCUCUACUGGACCAUAACUGACACUGAGGGACGAAAGCCAAGGUAGCGAAAGGGAUUAGAUACCCCUGUAGUCUUGGCCGUAAACGAUGGAUACUAGGCGUUGUCUGUAUCGACCCGGACAGUGCCGAAGCUAACGCGUUAAGUAUCCCGCCUGGGGAGUACGCACGCAAGUGUGAAACUCAAAGGAAUUGACGGGGGCCCGCACAAGCGGUGGAGUAUGUGGUUUAAUUCGAUGCAACGCGAAGAACCUUACCAAGAUUUGACAUCCCAUGAAUCCUGCAGAGAUGCGGGAGUGCCUUCGGGAACAUGGAGACAGGUGGUGCAUGGCUGUCGUCAGCUCGUGUCGUGAGAUGUUGGGUUAAGUCCCGCAACGAGCGCAACCCUCGUUUUUAGUUGCCAUCAUUAAGUUGGGCACUCUAGAAAGACUGCCGGGGACAACUCGGAGGAAGGUGGGGAUGACGUCAAGUCAUCAUGCCCCUUACAUUUUGGGCUACACACGUACUACAAUGGUCGGGACAAAGGGCAGCAACCCCGCGAGGGCAAGCGAAUCUCAUCAAACCCGGCCUCAGUUCAGAUUGCAGGCUGCAACUCGCCUGCAUGAAGGAGGAAUCGCUAGUAAUCGCAGGUCAGCAUACUGCGGUGAAUCCGUUCCCGGGCCUUGUACACACCGCCCGUCACACCAUGGAAGCUGGCCACGCCCGAAGUCGUUACUCUAACCGUUCG
rnacentral:rRNA from 1 species